CAUCAAUCUCUAGAAGAACCAAACCUCAGCACCAACCUGUUCAUCAUGAUGAUCAGAAUCCUCUGCCUGAGCGUCCUUGUGCUGCUUUUCUGCACAGACAUUGAAGCUAAAAAAGAAAAGACCGAAAAGACCGAAAAGUUCAAAAAGUUCAAGUGUUUCACUUGUACAGAGAAAAACUGCAAAAAACAACAGUAUUGUAGUGAAGGACAGGUCUGCAUGAGCGCCUCUGUUAUCGAAGUCACACAUGGACAUCAGAAUAAAUCCUACUACAGGUCCUGUACGUCACCUUCAUACUGUCCAAAGAGUGAAAAAGCAGAGACCAUGUCCAUCGGCUUGGGUUAUCAGGUGUUUGUGGCGACCGUUAAGUGCUGCAAGUCCCAUCUCUGCAACAAAAAACCUCAACCCCACCCUAAGAUACCAUCAGGAAAUGGGUUGACGUGCCUUUUCUGCAGCAACACUAAAAACCCAAAGGAAUGCAAAGUCAAGGAAUGCAUUGGAAAUCAAACUCACUGCGUGCAAGUAAUCAGAAAUGGAACUCAUCAGAGUGGGUGUGCAACUAAAAACUUCUGUCACCCCGACAAGAUACUUGGACGCUACAAGCCUGUUAAUGGCUUCGCUGGUGCCCUCAGUUUUCCAGCUGAGUGUGAGAAAGCAAAACCUGCACCUGAGCCAACAACUGCUGAACCAACAACUGCUGAACCAACAACUGCUGAACCAACAACUGCUGAACCAACAAUUGCUGAACCAACAACUGCUGAACCAACAACUGCUGAACCAAAGUGUGUUCCAGUUGAAACCACUCCUGAACCAACCCUUCCACCCUGUGAUAGAAAGGGAUAACUACUCCCACCACGUAAAACCAGUUUCUUUGUCUUGCUGACAAAAUCAUUAAAAGGUUGAUUAAAGUCUGGGUGAAUCUUUAGUGGAUCCUACAUCAAACAUAGAGAUCUUAACAAACUUAUCAGACCACCACCCACUGUGAGCUUAAAUCACAGCAUUGGUAAAUAUCUUUGUUUCUGUCAUUUGGCUAAUCUCCUAAACAAAAAAAAUAGUCGGUGGUUGAAUACAUUUGUUAACCAACUCAUGUGAUGUUUUGCUUUUAGUGAUGUUAUUAGAUGAUGAAUUAAUGAAGAUCAAAGCUUCUUUCAAAGGAGCUUUGAUGACUUCUAACUUCUAAAUGUGACUCUUUUAGUAAAGGUAACAGGGCUGAGUUUCUAAUGCUUUCUUAAAAUGCUUUCUGCAUGGGAACAAUCAUUAAAGAGGUGAAAUAAAACUAUCAGCAAAC
rnacentral:lncRNA from 1 species